CCUACGGGAGGCAGCAGUAGGGAAUUUUCGGCAAUGGGGGGAACCCUGAUCGAGCAACGCCGCGUGAACGAAGAAGUUAUUCGUAAUGUAAAGUUCUUUUUACAGGGAAGAAAGAGAAAUUUGACGGUACCUGAAGAAUAAGCUCCGGCUAACUACGUGCCAGCAGCCGCGGUAAUCCGUAGGGAGCGAGCGUUAUCCGGAAUUAUUGGGCGUAAAGGGUGCGUAGAUGGCAUAGUAAGUCUUUUGUAAAAAUGCUGGGCUCAACCCAGUAGGGCAAAAGAUACUGCAAAGCUAGAGUAUGACAGAGGCAAGUGGAACUAGAGGUGUAGCGGUAAAAUGCGUAGAUAUAUGUAAGAACACCAGUGGCGAAGGCGGCUUGCUGGGUCGAUACUGACAUUGAGGCACGAAAGCGUGGGGAGCAAACAGGAUUAGAUACCCCGGUAGUC
rnacentral:rRNA from 1 species